ensembl:lncRNA
CAAGAAACUAGAAAGUUUGAAAAUCUAAAGACAGAAUUGUAAGUGACAAAUCAAAAUGAUAAAUUGAAGAGUUAUAAAUAAAAAUAAGGAUGUGUAGUAAACUUAUCACUAUUUGUCAUGUUUACAAAAUGUAUACCACAGCUUGUCAUUAAAAUCACAACUGCUGCUCAUAACAAACCACUGCUCCGGGGUUGUGUUCACGGUGUGUGUGGGUCUAAUUUCUUAGUGAUUUACUGGUGCAUGUUAUUCUAAAGGAAGCAGUUUUUGUAAUCGUUAAUCAAAAUGUAAUACAUUUCUCUGCCUCUGAAAUUACUUUAUUUUUCAGUUCGUUGUUUUUUUGUUUUGUUUUGUUUUUUUCUUGUUGACCAUCAUGGACAUGUCACAUUAUAGAAGUACUGUAGCUGGCAAUUAAUAAUGUCUCAUAAUUACCAAGUAUAAUUUUCUAAGGCUAAUAAAAACAUUUUUUCAAAUGUUUUUGAUAGUCUCUUAAUGCACCACGUCUGCAUUUAUUUGACUGAAAAUGUAGUAAAAACAGUAAUAUUUUGAAAUAUUUAGUGCUGUCAAACAAUUAACCGCGAUUAAACGCAUCCAAAAUAAAAGCUUUUGUUUACAUAAUAUAUGUAUGUGUAGUGUGUAUAUUUAUGUAUAUAUAAAUACACACACAUAGAGUAUAUAUAUUUUAAUAUUUACAUGUAUAUACAUUUAUACAGUGCCGUGAAAAGCUUUUUGCCCCCUUCCUGUUUUUUUUUUUUGUUUUUUUUAUAUUUGUCACAUUUAAAAGAUUCAGAUCAUGAAACAAAUUUUUAAAUUACACAAAGAUAAUGCAAGUAAAUACAAAAUGCAGUUUUUAAAUGAUGAUUUCAUUUAUUAAGGGAAAAAAUCUGUCCAAACCUACCUGGCCCUACGUGAAAAUUGUAUUUCCCCCCUCCAGUUAAAUCAUGAAAGAACUGUGAUUAACCACAUUAUUUUAGAAAGCGGAGUUAAAUUUCACUAGCCAAACCCAGGAUUGAGUACUGCCAGAUCUGCUGAAUCAAGAAGUCACUUAAAUAGAAGCUGUCUGACAAAAUGAAGCAUCCUUAAAGAGCAACACAUCAUGUCAUGAUCUAAAGAAAUUCAAGAACAGAUGAGAAACAAAAUAGUUGACAUGUAUCAGUCUGGAAAGGGUUUUAAAGCCAUCUCUAAGG